UAGGGGAGGCAGCAGGGGGGAAUUUUGGCCAUGGGGGAAAAGCUUGAUCCAGCAAUCCCGCGUGCAGAAAGAAGGCUUUCGGGUUGUAAACUGCUUUUGUACGGAAGGAAACGGUUCAUGGUUAAUACUCUGGGGUUAAUGACGGUACCGUAGAAUUAAGCACGGCUAAAUUACGUGCCAGCAGCCGCGGUAAUAGAAGGGUGCAAGCGUUAUUGGGAAUUAUGGGGGUAAAAGCGUGGUCGGGCGGUGGUUUAAGACAGGGGUGAAAUCCCCGGGUUCACCCUGGGAAUUGCUUCAAUGACUGCAAGGUUGGAGUACGGAGGAGGGGGAUGAAUUUCCGGGUGUAGCAGUGAAAUGGGUAGAUUUGGGGAGGAACACCGAUGGGGAAGGCAGCCCCCUGGGCCAGUACUGACGUUCAGGCAGGAAAGCGUGGGGAGCAAACAGGAUUAGAUACCCUGUUAGUCCACCCCUUAAAGGAUGUCAACUCGUUGUUGGGAAUUUACUUUCUCAGUAACGAAGCUAACGCGUAAAGUGACC
rnacentral:rRNA from 1 species